GACGAACGCUGGCGGCGUGCUUAACACAUGCAAGUCGGACGAAGAGCGACGGAAGCUUGCUUCUAUCAAUCUUAGUGGCGAACGGGUGAGUAACGCGUAAUCAACCUGCCCUUCAGUGGGGUACAACAGUUGGAAACGACUGCUAAUACCGCAUACGAUCUAAUCUCGGCAUCGAGGAUGUAUGAAAGGUGUCCUCUACAUGUAAGCUAUCACUGAAGGAGGGGAUUGCGUCUGAUUAGCUAGUUGGUGGGGUAACGGCCCACCAAGGCGAUGAUCAGUAGCAGGUCUGAGAGGAUGAACGGCCACAUUGGGACGGAGACAAGGCCCAGACGACUACGGGAGGCAGCAGUGGGGAAUCUUCCGAAAUGGACGAAAGUCUGACGGAGCAACGCCGCGUGAGUGAUGAAGGCCUUCGGGUUGUAAAGCUCUGUUAAUCGGGAAGAAAGGCCUUCUUGCGAAUAGUGAGAAGGAUUGACGGUACCGGAAGAGAAAGCCACGGCUAACUACGUG
rnacentral:rRNA from 1 species